rnacentral:lncRNA from 1 species
ACUCAUCUUAGCUAGAACUUCCCACAACCGUUGGAUCUCAGCCAAAACAUCAUCGGACGGUAGCUGAAAUCUACAAGAUGGACAAGUAUUGGUCUUCUUCAACCAUGUUAAUAUACAUUUCCAAUGGAAAAUAUGAUCACAUGGUAAUUUGCAAACAUCUCUGCCUAUUUUCAUGUCUUCUUUGCAUAUCACACACUGAUCAUUUUCAUCGGCAGUAACUUCCACUGAUGGGAGCGCCACCACCACCGCCACGGAUGCCGCCAACUUCUUCCCAUCUUUUCGUACAUCAUCGGUGACUGAGC